CGCGGUAUUUUGGCCGUGCAAAGGUAGCAUAGUCAUUAGUUCUUUAAUUGUGAUCUGGUAUGAAUGGUUUGACGAGACGUUUACUGUCUUAUUGAAUUUAGAUUUUGAGUUAAAAUUCUUAAAUGUUUUUAUGGGACGAGAAGACCCUAUAGAGUUUUACAUUUGGUUGUGUUGUUUGUUUUAGUUUUUUUCUUUUGUUUUGUUGGGGUGAUGGGAGGAAUUUAUUUAACUCUUUGUAGUUGAUAUAUUGAUUUGUAUUUAUUUGAUCCAUUUAUUUUGAUUAUAAGAUUAAAUUACCUUAGGGAUAACAGCGUUAUCCUCCCUGAGAGUUCUUAUUGGCGGGAGGGUUUGCGACCUCGAUGUUGGAUUAAGGUUAAUUUUUGGGUAGGAGCUGAAUUGAUUAGGUCUGUUCGACCUUUAAAAUCUU
rnacentral:rRNA from 1 species